UAGAUUAAGCACAUGAUCUAAAUGUGAAAGGCGUCAACAGCUUGUCCUGCUUUGCUUCUCUAUCUGUGAGCACAAUAAAAUAUAUUUUUAUUUCAUUGCUUUUCCAAAGGAAAUAUUUGAAACACUACAGUACACUUUUCUAUUGACCUACAAAUCCAGAGAACAUAAAAUAACCACCCAAAGCCAAUGAAAAAGCCAAUAACUUUUGCAAAGUAUGUACUUUUUGUUUCCUUGGUUGACUUUUAACUUUCGCAAGAACACGGAAGAAUGUUUUCAAAUUGUUCAGAAACAAGGGAGGCGGCAGUCUUUAUAUUCACCCCAAGAUGGCGAUCUCACCAAUUGUAAGUGGAACGCAUAGACAGGAAAUGAGGUAUGGUACAGACAGGAAGUAGUAUUACAGUCAGGAUGUGAGGUAAGGAAAAAAAACAAUAGUUUCCAGAGAAGUAGCAGGAAGUAGAGAGGAGACAUUGCUGGAACUGAGGAGUUAUCUCUCUAUAAGGAAGCCUGUGAAAAGACGGCACGAAUGAGGAUGGAGGAGGACCGGAGUCACAUGACUGAGAAGAUACUAAACUUCACCUUGGAGAUCAUCUAUCUGCUGACCGGAGAGAGAUUUCCUCUUCUGAAGUCAGGUGAUCAUAUGACCA